rnacentral:rRNA from 1 species
UACGUAGGGGGCAAGCGUUGUCCGGAAUCAUUGGGCGUAAAGAGCGUGUAGGCGGCUUGGUAAGUCCGCUGUGAAAGUCCAGGGCUCAACCCUGGAAAGCCGGUGGAAACUGUCAAGCUCGAGUCCGGAAGAGGCGAGUGGAAUUCCUGGUGUAGCGGUGAAAUGCGCAGAUAUCAGGAGGAACACCAAGGGCGAAGGCAGCUCGCUGGGACGGAACUGACGCUGAGACGCGAAAGCGUGGGGAGCAAACAGG